UACGAGGGGGGCGAGCGUUGUUCGGAAUUAUUGGGCGUAAAGGGUGCGUAGGCGGGUCUUUAAGUCAGGGGUGAAAUCCUGGAGCUCAACUCCAGAACUGCCUUUGAUACUGAGGAUCUUGAGUUCGGGAGAGGUGAGUGGAACUGCGAGUGUAGAGGUGAAAUUCGUAGAUAUUCGCAAGAACACCAGUGGCGAAGGCGGCUCACUGGCCCGAUACUGACGCUGAGGCACGGAAGCGUGGGGAGCAAACAGG
rnacentral:rRNA from 1 species